rnacentral:rRNA from 1 species
CUUCCUACGGGAGGCAGCAGUGAGGAAUAUUGGUCAAUGGGCUUACGCCUGAACCAGCCAAGUCGCGUGAGGGAAGACUGCCCUAUGGGUUGUAAACCUCUUUUGUCAGGGAGCAACGCCGGCUACGUGUAGCCGGACUGAGAGUACCUGAAGAAAAAGCAUCGGCUAACUCCGUGCCAGCAGCCGCGGUAAUACGGAGGAUGCGAGCGUUGUCCGGAUUUAUUGGGCGUAAAGCGAGUGCAGGCGGUUCCAUAAGUCUGAUGUGAAAGCCUUUGGCUCAACCGGGGAAUUGCA